rnacentral:rRNA from 1 species
UGCCAGCAGCCGCGGUAAUACGGAGGGGGUUAGCGUUGUUCGGAAUUACUGGGCGUAAAGCGGCACGUAGGCGGACUGGAAAGUUGGGGGUGGAAUCCCAAGGCUCAACCUUGGAACUGCCUUCAAAACUGCCAGUCUUGAGUCCGGGAGAGGUGAGUGGAAUUCCUAGUGUAGAGGUGAAAUUCGUAGAUAUUAGGAAGAACACCAGUGGCGAAGGCGGCUCACUGGCCCGAUACUGACGCUGAGGUGCGAAAGCGUGGGGAGCAAACAGGAUUAGAUA